CCGACCUGUCAAUCAAACUAAUCAUUAUUGACCAAUGAGAAAGCUGCAAAUUAUUCACCGAGUCCCGUCCGCCAUCUUUACCCACAAACACAGCAGCGAUAACUGUUUACAACCGGACAUUUUAUUGAAGUUUUAAGACUGAUUUGUGAAAAUGGUUAAACGAUGCGGAUGGGGAAUAUGUUAUGCAGAUUAAGGUAUCCGGAGGGACUAAAUGGAGGCCGAUUUAAACGAUUUCCGACCUAUAAUUUAAUAUAAUCCGAUAUUGAGAAGUGCAAAUGCUGGAUUAAAGCCUGUGGACGGCCACAAGAGAAACUGAAUGUCAACAGGAUAAACAAGCACGAAGAUGUCUGCUCGAAGCACUUUCAUGGAGGAAAUGGACCAUCUUAAGAGUAUCCUGACCCACCAUCAGCUGAUGGCUGGAGAAUAACAUCUUCAAGAAAACUCCCCACAAAGCGGUCACUUGGAAAGGAAACUUAUGGCAGCAUUUAUACACAAAAUGCAAGUAGAAAAGCUGGUCCAGGAUCCUGCAGACACUGUACCAGGAGUAGAAACACAGACCGAAUGUCCAUGGACGUCACCUUUGGAUGUUUGCACUUUAUACCGCUCAAAAUGCUUCCCUAAAAGAACAGUUGUCACAAAAAGAAGUCCAAGUUGAAGAAUAACAGUCUGCACUUUUAUCAAAGUGUUGUGAAAUUCAGAUUUUAAAGCAACUGGUGGGAAUUUAAACAAACUGUAAAUGUCGAUAUAGUUCUGCUCAAAGAAGCAAUAGUUAAAAUUUGUUUAAAUAUUAUACAGGAAUCAUAUGAUUUUAUUUCUGCUUCUUUGAUAUAAUUGAAUAACUGUUAGUUUAUUCAUGUUUGGAAUAAAGCAUUGUAAAGUGAA